rnacentral:misc_RNA from 1 species
AUCACCUGCCCCUCUCUGUUACCUGGUACCCACUCCUUUGUGCCAGCAACACCGUCCACCGCAUUUCUCGCCACUUGCAUUUUGCAUCAACCUCUUGGUAAUCACCACACACUUUCAAGAACAUCUUUUUACUCGAAAAAACAUGGCAGUCAAGUGGUCUGACCAACACGACAAGGUCGCCCAGGUGCACGUCAGAACGCACCAUCUGUGCCGGUCCAUCGACCAGAUGGUAGACCAUCUGUACAACAUGUACCCGGAUCUGGAUCGAAACGUGAUUGAAGUCCACGUGAAGAUGUGGGAGGAUUACUACAAGAAGGCCUGGUAGCGCUGGCGCGCCGGGAUCUAUUUAUUGCCUGUUCAACGGGCAACUGCUUACGCUGUUAUUUAUCUUUCUGAAUUCGAAAUUCCCCUUUGUUCGAUGAUC